UAUAUUAACGGUGAAGUACUUUAUCAAAUAAACUAUUUUAUUUUUAUUUCGGAAUAAGUAAUAUUUUGAAUCUGUUUAUGGUAUUAUUAUUGCCUAGAUAUAUAUAGUAAUCUGUUUACACUUAUUCUAUAUUUUUGUUUUUACAUAAUUUUGUUUAUAUUUAUUUUACUAAAUAAUUACUAAUAGAUAAAGAAGUAUGUGCAGGAUUUAAUUUCACGGCUAAAGAGGACUCCAAAGAAGAAUUAAAGUUCUGGUGGAUCAAAGAUAGAGGAAUGAUUUGGUUUUAACUGGUUUGCAUCUUAUGAACGAAGUACAUAAUAUGAUUUAAAUUGAUGAUUUAUAGUUACACCUAUUGAAAUUUUGUAUCUCAAUGAUAUCCUGGCUUAUCGAUACGAUAUCCUGUAAAUCCACUCAUACACAUUAAUUUUACUCACACACGUUAAUCCAAUAAAUUCACUCACACACAUUAAUCUUAAAAAAGAUGUUUAUAUUUUUAUUUAUAAAUUGUAAAUUUUAUAUAAAUAAACUGUAUAUUUUUUA